rnacentral:rRNA from 1 species
CCUACGGGGGGCUGCAGUCGAGAAUCUUGGGCAAUGCACGAAAGUGUGACCCAGCGACGCCGCGUGGAGGAUGAAGGCCCUCUGGGUUGUAAACUCCUUUUAUGGGGAAAGAAGAUCUGACGGUACCCCAUGAAUAAGCCACGGCUAACUACGUGCCAGCAGCCGCGGUAAUACGUAGGUGGCAAGCGUUGUCCGGAUUUACUGGGCGUAAAGCGUAUGCAGGCGGAUGUUUAAGUAAGAGGUGAAAGGUUGGGGCUCAACCGCAACACUGCCUC